UCCCUGGUGGUCCAGUCGUUAGGAGUUAGCACUUUCACUGCUGCGGCCCAGGUUCAGUCCCUGGUCUGGGAA
rnacentral:tRNA from 1 species